rnacentral:rRNA from 1 species
UGGUGGAGUGAUUUGUCUGGUUAAUUCCGUUAACGAACGAGACCCCUGCCUGCUAAAUAGCCAAAUGAGUGAUUUUUCACUGAUUGUGGCUUCUAGAGGGACGUGCAUUUUAUUAGAUGCAGGAGGAUAGGGGCAAUAACA